GGACGCUAUAUAAACUCUACAUGCAAAAAUAAAGCUUGUCCACUGUGGCCAUCAGCUGCAUGGAACCUCCUAUCCCAUGACCUUUUAGUCUCUUGUUUCUUUCUCAUCCCCUUGCCCUCGGUCCCUGAAUCCGGACCUUCUCGCGCCGGCCGCGACAAGUGGCGCCCGAACAGGGACCCGAGACAGAGUGAAAGAAGAAGUGUUUACGUUACAGCUCUGCUGGACUUCAAAUAGCUCCUGAGAAGGUACAGAGAGAAGUUCCCUGAUGAGGAAGCGCCACGCUGCGUUCCAGCCAAAUUUGUUAGAGAUAUCAAAACUGAGAAGGAAGAUGAGUCGGCUGAACUUAUGCCCUCCUCGGAGGAAGAGGACUCUUAAAACAGAUUUGCCAUCAUGGGGACAAAUAAAGAAGUUAACCUCACAAGCCACAAGUUUGAUAAGAAGAUUGAUUUCAACACAAAGUUAUUCCUGGUGCAACAACCUCCAUAUUGGAUGAUCCCUGUUGACGUGAGAGGACCUUGGUACGCGAACUUUGGCAUGCAGUUAGCUCAAGAAUUGGUGAAGAAGCUAUGAAGAACUCGAAGAUUUCUUGGACUUUUAAUUGCAGGGAUAGUGGCUACUAUUGCUCUUAUUGCUUCUGCUACUGUAUCUGUUGUAUCUUUGCAUAAAAAUGCUCAGACCGCUGAACAUGUAAAUGAACUUGCUAGAAAUGUAACUAUUGCUCUUGAUGCUCAAAAGAGAAUCGAUGGAAAAUUGAAGCGCAGAUUGAAGCUUUAAAAGAAGCCGUUUUAUAUCUUGGUGAUCAAUUUGUUGUAUUAAAAACUA